AUCUUCCUGUGAUUCGUAAGUGUGACGGUUGGGUUUUCACGCUGGGUUUUCAUGUGUGAGAUAUGCCUCCCUCAAACCUUGUUACAACACCGGCACAUUGCCUGUCAGAUG
ensembl:snoRNA